GGGUCCUGGCUUUACCUUGCAGUUCGGGGAUAUCCUGGAUGCCUCACGGCUUCAUUUCCCAUGGCGGCCAACACAUUCAUUGGUCGUUUGUAUACCAUUCUUCGCUUGACUUUGAUGGCUGCAUCUUACAGUCCCUCUUCUGCAUCCGGCUGAGUUUGGGCCUCUUCAGAUCCAGCUGCCACCACACUGCACAGGAAUAAAAAAACGUCCCUCUGAGAACCGGCAGGAAUUGUGACUCGUGAUAUAUAAAUGCAGAUGGAUGACAUUCUCUCUACUCACCUGAAUGAGCUCCCACAUCCCCUGGGCCAGCCACACUGGGACACACACAGAGGCUAGCCAAGGCUCAACCAAGAAAGGCUAGCCUUACAUGUUUAGGCGAGCUCCCAGCAUGCCCUUUUGUGCUACUCAUGAUCGCCGAGAGAACAUCAGAGGCUGCCUCUGUUCCGGCCAGACUUUUCCCCAUCUCUGAACCCCAGAUUCUUCAGUUCUUCUCACUGAAGUCAAGAGUAAUGCACACAGCCCAAGGCUUGUUACAGAGAGCGUCACUCGCCACCCGUGUUCCAGGCAAAGUGCGUCCUCUUCAUGCCUGCGCACUCAGCAGCUGCCACUGGACACAUAAACCAUCUCACUGAACACACAUAAAUGCCAGAGUUGAGGCCCUAGCGGGUGAUGAGUCCUACCUAUUCCCAAGAUUUACAUCCAGGGUGUGAAAGUCAAUAAAAACUAAUUAGAUGUUUACCUC
rnacentral:lncRNA from 1 species